ensembl:lncRNA
UUUUGUUGUCUUUUUAUUGAUUUAUAAAAAGUAUUUAUUUUGGACAAGUCUAUUAAAUAUAUAUUUAGAAUUCCUAGUCUGUGAUUUGAGUUUCAAAGAAGUUUGUUUUGAAGAGCAAAAGUGUUUAAGCUUGAUGAAGUGAAUGCUGUCAAUUUUUGUGCUUUUAUUGAACCCACAGUGUGUGAUCUAACAGUCUUUAUUCCAAGUGUAAUGAAAUUCUGACUCCAUCAUUUUAUGUAUGGUGAUAAUUUUUAAAUCCUACUUUUUUAGCUCCCCAUUUCGCUUCAUAUCUUAGCAAGUUGAUAAGAAGGUCGAGAUUCUCCUUUAGCAGCAGUGAAAAGUUAAAACCCCGUAUGCAAGGGAACCCUACUCCUGACCCAGCUCUCUCUACCAUAAGGACACCAAGUCAAUCUCCUUUCCUGACUUUUUCAAGCUGUUUUUCCACUGAAUUAGUAAGCCUAUUCUGCUCUUCCAUAAUGUCUUAUCUUAUGAUUAAUAAACUGUUUACUUUCAAAUUUUCUGAGUCCUUUUUCUGCCACUUCAGAUUAGCUAUUAGACCUCUCCAGUGCAUAUUUCAUUUCUACUUUUGUACUUUUAAACUCUAGUAUUUCUAUUUUUAAAAUAAUUAUAUCUCUUUAUUGAUAUUCUUUGAUAGAUAUCAUCUUCAUAUUUUCCUUUAGUAUCUUAAACAUGAUUUCCUUUCAUUAUUGAACAUAUUUAAAAUAGCUUAUGUAAAAUAUUUCCUAGUAACUCUAAAGUCUGGUUUCCUCAGGGAUCGCUUGGGUUGACUACUUUUUCUAGUGUAUGUGCUAUGCUUUCCUGUGUCUUUGUACAUCUCAGAAUUUUUUUUUUAAUUUUAGUUUUUUAUUUUUUAAAUUUUAAAAUCUUUAAUUCUUACAUGCAUUCCCAAACAUGAACCCCCCUCCCACCUCCCUCCCCAUAACAUCUUUCUGGGUCAUCCCCAUGCACCAGCCCCAAGCAUGCUGCAUCCUACGUCAGACAUAGACUGGCGAUUCAAUUCACAUGAUAGUAUACAUGUUAGAAUGUCAUUCUCCCAAAUCAUCCCACCCUCUCCCUCUCCCUCUGAGUCCAAAAAUCCGUUAUACACAUCUGUGUCUCUUUCCCUGUCUUGCAUACAGGGUCGUCAUUGCCAUCUUCCUAAAUUCCAUAUAUAUGUGUUAGUAUACUGUAUUGGUGUUUUUCUUUCUGGCUUACUUCACUC